UACGUAGGGGGCAAGCGUUGUCCGGAAGUAUUGGGCGUAAAGAGCUCGUAGGCGGUUUGUCGCGUCUGCUGUGAAAACUCGGGGCUUAACUCCGGGCCUGCAGUGGGUACGGGCAGACUAGAGUGCGGUAGGGGAGACUGGAAUUCCUGGUGUAGCGGUGAAAUGCGCAGAUAUCAGGAGGAACACCGGUGGCGAAGGCGGGUCUCUGGGACGGUACUGACGCUGAGACGCGAAAGCGUGGGGAGCAAACAGG
rnacentral:rRNA from 1 species